GACAAGGGAUCCUAGCGUUGUUCGGAAUCAUUGGGCGUAAAGCGGAUGUAGGUGGCUUUGUAAGUCAGGUGUGAAAGCCCCGGGCUCAACCCGGGAAGUGCAUUUGAUACUGCGAAGCUUGAGUGCUGGAGAGGUUACUAGAAUACCUGGUGUAGUGGUGAAAUACGUAGAUAUCAGGUGGAAUACCGGAGGCGAAGGCGGGUAACCAGCGAGACACUGACACUCAGAUACGAAAGUGUGGGGAUCGAACAGG
rnacentral:rRNA from 1 species